GAAAUCUCCAGGGGAGAAGUCACGCUAUGAGACCUCACUAAAUCUGACCACCAAACGCUUCUUGGAGCUGCUGAGCCACUCAGCUGAUGGUGUUGUUGAUCUGAACUGGGCAGCCGAGGUGCUGAAGGUGCAGAAACGACGCAUCUAUGACAUCACCAAUGUCCUGGAGGGCAUCCAACUCAUUGCCAAGAAGUCCAAGAAUCAUAUCCAGUGGCUAGGCAGCCGCACCAUGGUGGGGAUCGGUCAGCGGCUUGAAGGCCUGACCCAGGACCUGCAACAACUGCAGGAGAGUGAGCAGCAGCUGGAUCACCUGAUGCACAUCUGUACCACUCAGCUGCAACUGCUUUCUGAGGACUCAGACAUCCAGCGAUAUCCUUGGGUU
rnacentral:lncRNA from 1 species